GAGUAACUGUUGACAUCGUGACGGUAUCCAACCAGAAAGCCACGGCUAACUACGUGCCAGCAGCCGCGGUAAUACGUAGGUGGCAAGCGUUGUCCGGAUUUAUUGGGCGUAAAGCGAGCGCAGGCGGUUUUUUAGGUCUGAUGUGAAAGCCUUCGGCUUAACCGGAGAAGUGCAUCGGAAACCGGGAGACUUGAGUGCAGAAGAGGACAGUGGAACUCCAUGUGUAGCGGUGAAAUGCGUAGAUAUAUGGAAGAACACCAGUGGCGAAGGCGGCUGUCUGGUCUGCAACUGACGCUGAGGCUCGAAAGCAUGGGUAGCGAACAGGAUUAGAUACCCUGGUAGUCCAUGCCGUAAACGAUGAGUGCUAAGUGUUGGAGGGUUUCCGCCCUUCAGUGCUGCAGCUAACGCAUUAAGCACUCCGCCUGGGGAGUACGACCGCAAGGUUGAAACUCAAAGGAAUUGACGGGGGCCCGCACAAGCGGUGGAGCAUGUGGUUUAAUUCGAUGCUACGCGAAGAACCUUACCAGGUCUUGACAUCUUCUGCUAACCUAAGAGAUUAGGCGUUCCCUUCGGGGACGGAAUGACAGGUGGUGCAUGGUUGUCGUCAGCUCGUGUCGUGAGAUGUUGGGUUAAGUCCCGCAACGAGCGCAACCCUUAUUGUUAGUUGCCAGCAUUCAGUUGGGCACUCUGGCAAGACUGCCGGUGACAAACCGGAGGAAGGUGGGGAUGACGUCAAAUCAUCAUGCCCCUUAUGACCUGGGCUACACACGUGCUACAAUGGACGGUACAACGAGUCGCGAAACCGCGAGGUCAAGCUAAUCUCUUAAAGCCGUUCUCAGUUCGGAUUGUAGGCUGCAACUCGCCUACAUGAAGUUGGAAUCGCUAGUAAUCGUGGAUCAGCAUGCCACGGUGAAUACGUUCCCGGGCCUUGUACACACCGCCCGUCACACCAUGAGAGUUUGUAACACCCAAAGCCGGUGAGGUAACC
rnacentral:rRNA from 1 species